UAGUGCCAUAAGAUAUUUUGAGAGAGAUAAGACAUUUACAUAAGUUUUGUUAGAGUAUAUUGUUAAACUUAUUCUAUUUUAUUAUUAGUUAUUAAUUAUUAAUUAUUAUUAUUAGUUAUUUAUUAAUAGUUAUUGUUGCUAAUCUCUUAGUAUGCUUAACUUAUGAAUUAAACUUUAUCAUAGGUAUGUAUGUACAGAGAAUAACCCAUAGAGGGAAUAGGGUUCAGUACUGUCCCUGAUUUCAGGCAUGGGCUGGGAAUCUCGGAAUCUUGGAACAUAUCCCCUGUGGAUAAGGGAGGACUACUGCAUUAGGACUGUUUGAGUUGCAAGCCAACUUUAUGAGCUGAAUAUUUUCCUGAAACACUGGCAGCGUGAUUUCUCCCAACCAUGUGUCUCCAUCCCAAACUGAAAUGACCAUCUUCCUGAGGCAGCUAUUCAAAACUGUGGCCAGCUUGACCGCUUUUCUUGAAUUGAGUUACGAACAGAUUGGUCAGAAAGCGAUACCUGUUUGAGCUGACUGAUUAUUAACCAAGAGUCAAAUUAUGUGCCUAGACAAAGUGUGAGUUAUGGGAAGAACCCAGUCUCUCUCUCUCUCCUUUAGGUCAUAGUAAAGGGAACCAUUGACUUCACUGUAGUUUUGGAUUAUGCAGGGAAUGGUCAGGGUUGUUUUGGAAUCCCAAAGAUCUACUUUCAAACUUUGGUCCUACUGAGGUAGCUGUGUGAGUUUGGGUAAGUUAUUUAACCUAAUUUUUCAGCUUCUCAAUGUAAAAUGGGAGCAUUUCCAGUCUAUAUAAUAGUGUUAUUGUGGGGAUUAAAUGAGAUAAUGUAGGUAAAGCACCCUAGCACAGUGUCUAGCAUGAAAGUGCUCAAUAAUGAACAAUUAUUAUUAACACAACCGUUUAAAAUUUGAAUAGUCCAAGUACCUUCAGUUUGUUUCACAUAAAAAUGUUUUAAGAACAACUAAUGAUCUUUUUUUUUCCUUUGCACACUCCAAAUAAACAAAACAAAACUUAAUGCUCAUUUAUCCCUGAGUGAGAACUGAGAAAAGAUGAAUAGUGUGCCUGGAUAGUAGAUAUCCCAAGGUGCUACUUUGAGUUAUUUAGCCGCUUCUCAGAGGCACAAAAGUCAGAAUUGAUGGGGCGGGGCAGAGGCUAGAAGAGGGUGGCCUAUUUCCCUCCAAAUCUCUGUAAUAAUGUCUUCAGAAACUUCUGGGGUGAUGGUAGAGACAGAUCUGUGUCAUGUUUACUUAGAAGAAUCUCAUAUUCUGUAGAACUGAAAUAGUAAAGCACGAACAACAAAAAUAAAAA